GCUCAGAGGUUUAGAGAAGAAUCUCCUUCAGAGCCUCAGCCCCAUGACCCAUGGCCAGGCGAUGUGGUAAAUAUGAUGUGAAGCUGGACAUGGAACAGUGAUCAGAGCCCCUCCAUCAAUGAAUAUGGUAUCCAAAAGUGGUCUAGGUUCCUCAUAUUAGUCAGGAUACAAAAACUGCUAUUGUGAAACAAUAACUUCAAAUCUCGAUGCUUCACCUGAUAAUAGGUUUAGCUUUUGCUCAUGCAAUAGUCUAAUUGUGUGUCCCAAGAGUGACCUCCCACGUGGUCAUUUAGAGGCCCUAGUGGUUCCAUGAUGCCAGGGACACCGAGAAUCCUCAUCUGGAUCCU